AAUCCAUAGGUUAAUGAGGCGAACCGGGGGAACUGAAACAUCUAAGUACCCCGAGGAAAAGAAAUCAACCGAGAUUCCCCCAGUAGCGGCGAGCGAACGGGGAGGAGCCCAGAGCCUGAAUCAGCAUGUGUGUUAGUGGAAGCGUCUGGAAAGGCGCGCGAUACAGGGUGACAGCCCCGUACACAAAAGCGCAUGUGCUGUGAGCUCGAUGAGUAGGGCGGGACACGUGGUAUCCUGUCUGAAUAUGGGGGGACCAUCCUCCAAGGCUAAAUACUCCUGACUGACCGAUAGUGAACCAGUACCGUGAGGGAAAGGCGAAAAGAACCCCGGCGAGGGGAGUGAAAAAGAACCUGAAACCGUGUACGUACAAGCAGUGGGAGCACCCUUUGGGUGUGACUGCGUACCUUUUGUAUAAUGGGUCAGCGACUUAUAUUCUGUAGCAAGGUUAACCGAAUAGGGGAGCCGGAGGGAAACCGAGUCUUA
rnacentral:rRNA from 1 species